UACGAAGGGGGCUAGCGUUGUUCGGAAUUACUGGGCGUAAAGCGCGCGUAGGCGGAUUUGCCAGUCAGGGGUGAAGUGCCAGGGCUUAACCUUGGAACUGCAUUGGUGACUGGCAGGCUUUGAGUGUGGCAGAGGGAGGUAGAAUUCCACGUGUAGCAGUGAAAUGCGCAGAUAUCAGGAGGAACACCAAUUGCGAAGGCAGCUCGCUGGGACGUUACUGACGCUGAGACGCGAAAGCGUGGGGAGCAAACAGG
rnacentral:rRNA from 1 species